GAGGGGCAGCAUGAACUUAGCUUGCUAAGUUUGAUGGCGACCGGCGCACGGGUGAGUAACACGUAUCCAACCUGCCGAUGACUCGGGGAUAGCCUUUCGAAAGAAAGAUUAAUACCCGAUGGCAUAAUUCUUCCGCAUGGUAGAAUUAUUAAAGAAUUUCGGUCAUCGAUGGGGAUGCGUUCCAUUAGGUUGUUGGCGGGGUAACGGCCCACCAAGCCUUCGAUGGAUAGGGGUUCUGAGAGGAAGGUCCCCCACAUUGGAACUGAGACACGGUCCAAACUCCUACGGGAGGCAGCAGUGAGGAAUAUUGGUCAAUGGACGAGAGUCUGAACCAGCCAAGUAGCGUGAAGGAUGACUGCCCUAUGGGUUGUAAACUUCUUUUAUACGGGAAUAAAGUGAGGCACGUGUGCCUUUUUGUAUGUACCGUAUGAAUAAGGAUCGGCUAACUCCGUGCCAGCAGCCGCGGUAAUACGGAGGAUCCGAGCGUUAUCCGGAUUUAUUGGGUUUAAAGGGAGCGUAGGCGGACGCUUAAGUCAGUUGUGAAAGUUUGCGGCUCAACCGUAAAAUUGCAGUUGAUACUGGGUGUCUUGAGUACAGUAGAGGCAGGCGGAAUUCGUGGUGUAGCGGUGAAAUGCUUAGAUAUCACGAAGAACUCCGAUUGCGAAGGCAGCUUGCUGGACU
rnacentral:rRNA from 1 species